GACGAACGCUGGCGGCGUGCUUAACACAUGCAAGUCGAACGGAAAGGCCCUUCGGGGUACUCGAGUGGCGAACGGGUGAGUAACACGUGGGUGAUCUGCCCUGCACUUUGGGAUAAGCCUGGGAAACUGGGUCUAAUACCGAAUAUGAUCAUCAGCUUCAUGGUUGGUGGUGGAAAGCUUUUGCGGUGUGGGAUGGGCCCGCGGCCUAUCAGCUUGUUGGUGGGGUAAUGGCCUACCAAGGCGACGACGGGUAGCCGGCCUGAGAGGGUGACCGGCCACACUGGGACUGAGAUACGGCCCAGACUCCUACGGGAGGCAGCAGUGGGGAAUAUUGCACAAUGGGCGCAAGCCUGAUGCAGCGACGCCGCGUGAGGGAUGACGGCCUUCGGGUUGUAAACCUCUUUCAGCACAGACGAAGCGCAAGUGACGGUAUGUGCAGAAGAAGGACCGGCCAACUACGUGCCAGCAGCCGCCGUAA
rnacentral:rRNA from 1 species